GAUGAACGCUGGCGGUAUGCUUAACACAUGCAAGUCGAACGGUCACUUCGGUGAUAGUGGCGGACGGGUGAGUAACGCGUGAGAAUCUGUCUUCAGGUCGGGGACAACAGUUAGAAAUGACUGCUAAUACCGGAUGUGCCUUUGGGUGAAAGAUUUGUUGCCUGAAAAAUAGCUCGCGUCAGAUUAGCUAGUAGGUGGUGUAAGAGACUACCUAGGCUCCGAUCUGUAGCUGGUCUGAGAGGACGAUCAGCCAAACUGGAACUGAGACACGGUCCAGACUCCUACGGGAGGCAGCAGUGGGGAAUUUUCCGAAAUGGGCGAAAGCCUGACGGAGCAAUACCGCGUGAGGGACGAAGGCUUUUGGGUCGUAAACCUCUUUUCUCAAGGAAGAUGAUGACGGUACUUGAGGAAUAAGCAUCGGCUAACUCUGUG
rnacentral:rRNA from 1 species